rnacentral:rRNA from 1 species
UGCAGUCGAGCGAUGGAUUAAGAGCUUGCUCUUAUGAAGUUAGCGGCGGACGGGUGAGUAACACGUGGGUAACCUGCCCAUAAGACUGGGAUAACUCCGGGAAACCGGGGCUAAUACCGGAUAAYAUUUUGAACYGCAUGGUUCGAAAUUGAAAGGCGGCUUCGGCUGUCACUUAUGGAUGGACCCGCGUCGCAUUAGCUAGUUGGUGAGGUAACGGCUCACCAAGGCAACGAUGCGUAGCCGACCUGAGAGGGUGAUCGGCCACACUGGGACUGAGACACGGCCCAGACUCCUACGGGAGGCAGCAGUAGGGAAUCUUCCGCAAUGGACGAAAGUCUGACGGAGCAACGCCGCGUGAGUGAUGAAGGCUUUCGGGUCGUAAAACUCUGUUGUUAGGGAAGAACAAGUGCUAGUUGAAUAAGCUGGCACCUUGACGGUACCUAACCAGAAAGCCACGGCUAACUACGUGCCAGCAGCCGCGGUAAUACGUAGGUGGCAAGCGUUAUCCGGAAUUAUUGGGCGUAAAGCGCGCGCA